rnacentral:rRNA from 1 species
AUUGAACGCUGGCGGCAGGCCUAACACAUGCAAGUCGAACGGUAACAGGAAGAAGCUUGCUUCUUUGCUGACGAGUGGCGGACGGGUGAGUAAUGUCUGGGAAACUGCCUGAUGGAGGGGGAUAACUACCGGAAACGGUAGCUAAUACCGCAUAACGUCGCAAGACCAAAGAGGGGGACCUUCGGGCCUCUUGCCAUCGGAUGUGCCCAGAUGGGAUUAGCUAGUAGGUGGGGUAACGGCUCACCUAGGCGACGAUCCCUAGCUGGUCUGAGAGGAUGACCAGCCACACUGGAACUGAGACACGGUCCAGACUCCUACGGGAGGCAGCAGUGGGGAAUAUUGCACAAUGGGCGCAAGCCUGAUGCAGCCAUGCCGCGUGUAUGAAGAAGGCCUUCGGGUUGUAAAGUACUUUCAGCGGGGAGGAAGGGAGUAAAGUUAAUACCUUUGCUCAUUGACGUUACCCGCAGAAGAAGCACCGGCUAACUCCGU